rnacentral:lncRNA from 1 species
AACAUAAAACCACCACAAAUUUAUUUUGUUGGGCCUCUAAAUUCUAGACCCAGCACAAUCCAGAAAAUUGGGCCGCAGCCGUAUUUGCUCAUAUCUGGGUAAGGGCGCGAGGAGUCCCAACGCAAGGUUCGAGUGCGCAAUUACAUAUGCCAUUACCGAUAAACGAUCUAGGCAUAAUUUAUUAUUCGAUAGAUUGAAAAUCCUACCGAAAACAACUUUAUUCUUUCCAGAUGCUUCAAGGAAAAUUGAAACAACUAAAAAAUUUU